rnacentral:rRNA from 1 species
CGUGGCUCGAGGAUGAACGCUGGCGGCGUGCCUAACACAUGCAAGUCGAACGAAGCACCUCUGAUCAGAGAUUCGUCGAAGAUUGGAUUUGACGUUAGUGGCGGACGGGUGAGUAAUGUAUGAGCAACCUGCCUUUCAGAGGGGGACAACAGUUGGAAACGACUGCUAAUACCGCAUAAUGUAUCGAGAGGGCAUCCUUUUGAUACCAAAGGAGCAAUCCGCUGAAAGAUGGGCUCAUAUCUGAUUAGUUAGUUGGCAGGGUAACGGCCUACCAAGACUGCGAUCAGUAGCCGGACUGAGAGGUUGAACGGCCACAUUGGGACUGAGAUACGGCCCAGACUCCGUACGGGAGGCAGCAGUGGGGAAUAUUGGGCAAUGGGCGAAAGCCUGACCCAAGCAACGCCGCGUGAAGGAAGAAGGUCUUCGGAUUGUAAACUUCUUUUAUGAGGACGAAGGACGUGACGGUACCUCAUGAAUAAGCCACGGCUAACUACGUGCCAGCAGCAGC